UAGCGGCGGAUGGGUGAGUAACACGUGGGCAAUCUGCCCUAAAGACUGGGAUACCACUUGGAAACAGGUGCUAAUACCGGAUAACAACAUGAAUCGCAUGAUUCAAGUUUGAAAGGCGGCGUAAGCUGUCACUUUAGGAUGAGCCCGCGGCGCAUUAGCUAGUUGGUGGGGUAAAGGCCUACCAAGGCAAUGAUGCGUAGCCGAGUUGAGAGACUGAUCGGCCACAUUGGGACUGAGACACGGCCCAAACUCCUACGGGAGGCAGCAGUAGGGAAUCUUCCACAAUGGACGCAAGUCUGAUGGAGCAACGCCGCGUGAGUGAAGAAGGUUUUCGGAUCGUAAAGCUCUGUUGUUGGUGAAGAAGGAUAGAGGCAGUAACUGGUCUUUAUUUGACGGUAAUCAACCAGAAAGUCACGGCUAACU
rnacentral:rRNA from 1 species